AACGAACGCUGGCGGCAGGCUUAACACAUGCAAGUCGAGCGCCCCGCAAGGGGAGCGGCAGACGGGUGAGUAACGCGUGGGAAUCUACCCAUCACUACGGAACAACUCCGGGAAACUGGAGCUAAUACCGUAUACGUCCUUCGGGAGAAAGAUUUAUCGGUGAUGGAUGAGCCCGCGUUGGAUUAGCUAGUUGGUGGGGUAAUGGCCCACCAAGGCGACGAUCCAUAGCUGGUCUGAGAGGAUGAUCAGCCACACUAGGACUGAGACACGGCCCAGACUCCUACGGGAGGCAGCAGUGGGGAAUAUUGGACAAUGGGCGCAAGCCUGAUCCAGCCAUGCCGCGUGAGUGAUGACGGCCCUAGGGUUGUAAAGCUCUUUCAACGGUGAAGAUAAUGACGGUAACCGUAGAAGAAGCCCCGGCUAACUUCGUGCCAGCCGCCGCGGUAACAC
rnacentral:rRNA from 1 species